GGCUCAGUGGUCUAGUGGUAUAACUCGCUUCGGGUGCGAAAGGCCACGGGUUCGAUUCCCGUCUGAGCCC
rfam:Nematostella vectensis strain CH2 x CH6 NEMVEscaffold_39_Cont6475, whole genome shotgun sequence.